rnacentral:lncRNA from 1 species
AAGUUCCUUUCAGACACUAGAAAGGGGGAAAUUUGAUUAUUUUUUUAAAGAAGAAUUUUAUCCAAGCAUUACUGUAAUCCACUACAGAUUUGCAAAGAAUGCUGCUCAGAUUUCACAGCUAAUGUUCAGUGCUAGUUGGUUCUGUACGUUUCCCCUGUGGAUCUGAACGUGUGCUGCUCUAAUCCCUGCUUUGGCUUGAUCACGACUGAGUUGUGAUUUUACCCACCUGUUGUGGUGGUUAAAUCUGGUGUGAUGUGGCUGUAACAUCCCAAAGUGCCUCCCAUGUUGCAGUGAGUAAUUCUGUGAAACUGAUUUUAAAAAAUCCUUGUUUUUGUUUUUAUUUGCAGUGCUGUCCCAUGGCAGCCACCCCAGCAGAGAGCUCCAGGAGCCAUGGGAAGGGGCUGGAGCGGAGCCAGAGCCACAGCAGCUCUGCCUUGGACUAUUCAGGAGACACCUUUGAGUCCUUCAGCGAGGAGGAGGAGAGGGAAGCAGCUGGAUCCUGGUGUUCCACAGAGGAUUUGGAGGGGGCAGCUGUGUCAGAGGCUUUGGAAAGCUCAGCAUCACAGGCAGGCCAAAGAGCAGCAGAGGAGGAGUUUGAAGCAGUGGAUCCUGCAGCUGUGGAAAGAGCUGCCAUAGGAAAAUGGAUUGAUGCCAUAGGAAAGUGGAUUGAUCUGAAAAAUAAAGACACUGGGAUUAGGCCAGACAAAUCUGCCAUCAUAACUCCUGCUGAAACACUGGAUUUCUGAGGAGAUGCUCAGUUUCCUUGCAGAAUUCCACAACUGUCCUGUGCACUCAGAGCUAAAUAAAUCCCAUGGAGUUUGGGGGAAGUCUUCUAUU